GACGAACGCUGGCGGCGUGCCUAAUACAUGCAAGUUGAGCGCUGAAGGUUGGUACUUGUACCAACUGGAUGAGCAGCGAACGGGUGAGUAACGCGUGGGGAAUCUGCCUUUGAGCGGGGGACAACAUUUGGAAACGAAUGCUAAUACCGCAUAAAAACUUUAAACACAAGUUUUAAGUUUGAAAGAUGCAAUUGCCUCACUCAAAGAUGAUCCCGCGUUGUAUUAGCUAGUUGGUGAGGUAAAGGCUCACCAAGGCGAUGAUACAUAGCCGACCUGAGAGGGUGAGCGGCCACAUUGGGACGGAGACACGGCCCAAACUCCUACGGGAGGCAGCAGUAGGGAAUCUUCGGCAAUGGACGAAAGUCUGACCGAGCAACGCCGCGGGAGUGCAGAAGGUUUUCGGAUCGUAAAACUCUGUUGGUAGAGAAGAACGUUGGUGAGAGUGGAAAGCUCAUAAAGUGACGGUAACUACCCAGAAAGGGACGGCUAACUACGUG
rnacentral:rRNA from 1 species